AUACGUAGGGGGCGAGCGUUGUCCGGAAUGAUUGGGCGUAAAGGGCGCGUAGGCGGCGCGGUAAGUCUGGAGUGAAAGUCCUGCUUUCAAGGUGGGAAUUGCUUUGGAUACUGCCGCGCUUGAGUGCAGGAGAGGUUAUCGGAAUUCCCGGUGUAGCGGUGAAAUGCGUAGAGAUCGGGAGGAACACCAGUGGCGAAGGCGGGUAACUGGACUGCAACUGACGCUGAGGCGCGAAAGUGUGGGGAGCAAACAGGAUUAGAUACCCUGGUAGUCCACACUGUAAACGAUGAAUGCUAGGUGUAGGGGGUAUCGACUCCCUCUGUGCCGCAGUUAACACAAUAAGCAUUCCGCCUGGGGAGUACGGCCGCAAGGUUGAAACUCAAAGGAAUUGACGGGG
rnacentral:rRNA from 1 species